CUAAUUCCGGUACGUACAGAUUCAUAUUUGUUUAAACAUGACACUUUGACGCUUACCGAGUAAUUUAGUCAAUAUCAAAUAAACUACCAUGGAACGAUGUACCUAUUGACACCAUUAAGAUCUCGAUUAUGUACGAAGUUUCGGGGUUGAAGACCUUCCCCACAUAAAUAAUCUAUUUUUUGGUUGCGCCAAGCGGCGAGGGAACCACUAAGUAUUAUUGAAGAGCUUAGCGUACCGGAACACGGCCGCUACGAAGUAAGUUUAUAGACGGGAUAGUUGAAAGCUACCAUCCUAUCUCCGGAUGGUACCAAAGUUGCCCAUUGCCCCUUAUUCCCAAGCUAAGGCCUCUCCCUCGGACUCUUUGCCGAUGGUGUAGGUUCCUUCCGUCGUCCGCGCGUUUAAUGGGUUAGGGCUGUGCCCCUCCAUCACUGUUAUUUAUUGUUAUAUCCCGAGAAAACCCAGAAUAUUAACCUUACUCAUGUUAAAUUUAGGGAAUUGCUCCUUGUUAACCUCCCGUUCAGACCACGGUCGUCGGCGCCAUUAAGGUCGAGGUUAUCGCAUAUAAUUUCAACAACGUCAAUUUUUCGAGCAUCAACUUGAAGUCGGGACCGGCCCGCCAGACGGAAGUGCCAUACAUGACAGACCGACCCCGAAUGGAGAACCACUCGAACGUACGGCAAAUAAGCCACACGUUCCCUUGGUCCUGAAAAUGAAACUCUUUUAAUCUCACAAGUUUCGUCCGUUUACGGGCUUAUGUAAUCGUACCUUAUUACCUUAUCCUGCACGCCAAGAUAAAACAACCAAAGAUCUCAGCGGCAUUACUAAUUAUCCCUGUCAACCCCCGUAAUCAUAACUCAACGAUCUCCACUUUAAGAACCUAAAUGAGUUCUGAUUGAAGACGCUUUCGUAAACGGUUCCUACAAAAGUAAUUAGUUCUUGCUUCCAAUCCCCUAGCUUUUGCUAGUCUAUGGCAACAUCAGAAUUGUCAUUUGAUACGGCUGAUCCCUAGCCCGCUAGAGUGAUAAUACACAGCGGGCCGUGGAAUGCUCUUUAGUUUCAGAAACCCAAGACCCCCCUCAUACCAGCGUUCCGACUUUGAAUUUCCUUAACUGCCUUCCCGUGGUGGUCCACACCUCGGACGCCGAAUUAAACUGAGUUGUGCCCCUUUGAGUGGUCCAGGUCUGUAUCGAUCCUAACUGUCUAACUAUCGAGAAAGAACUAAGAUACCCACCACCACGUACCGGCAAGAAUCAACCACCUCACUAAACAGACCAAUUAAGGCUAUUGCUUGCUCUGGAAUUGGACGAUUUAUCGGGCAUAACGAAACCGUCAUGCGGCCGAAGAAUCUCCCUGAUAGCCGAGUUCGGCUACCUUCAAACUCCGUUAUUGUCCAGACACUACG
rnacentral:rRNA from 1 species